rnacentral:rRNA from 2 species
GAUGGGAGCUUGCUCCCUGAUGUUAGCGGCGGACGGGUGAGUAACACGUGGGUAACCUGCCUGUAAGACUGGGAUAACUCCGGGAAACCGGGGCUAAUACCGGAUGGUUGUCUGAACCGCAUGGUUCAGACAUAAAAGGUGGCUUCGGCUACCACUUACAGAUGGACCCGCGGCGCAUUAGCUAGUUGGUGAGGUAACGGCUCACCAAGGCGACGAUGCGUAGCCGACCUGAGAGGGUGAUCGGCCACACUGGGACUGAGACACGGCCCAGACUCCUACGGGAGGCAGCAGUAGGGAAUCUUCCGCAAUGGACGAAAGUCUGACGGAGCAACGCCGCGUGAGUGAUGAAGGUUUUCGGAUCGUAAAGCUCUGUUGUUAGGGAAGAACAAGUGCCGUUCAAAUAGGGCGGCACCUUGACGGUACCUAACCAGAAAGCCACGGCUAACUACGUGC